rnacentral:lncRNA from 1 species
GGCAAACCAGCUUAAGGAUCUAGCAUCGGUUCCCAUAUAGGACCCUAUAGAUAAAAGGCUCGUCCAAAGGGCAGAUGGGCAACCGAACAACCGAAGUAAGACCCUAUUUGUGACAAAGGAGCUUACGAACCCUGAACAAGUUCCCAUCUAAGACCCUAUGGACGAAAAAUCUUGUCCAAAGGGUAGAAGGGCAACAGAAUGACAAUUGUCAAAGUAUAUUGAUGGAAAACCAAAUGAUGCUUCCCACUUUAUCAAUGAACAGAGUUUGAAAUUGAUAAAGGCCACAGAGAAACGGCCUAGGCAACACAUCCCACCUAUGGAAAACCUUAUCCAAAAGGGUAGGGGGCUGCCAAUGGGGUUAUAUUCAUGAAAUACCAGUCUAGUCUUUGUUGUUGCGUUACCAAAUGAAUAGGAAUUCCGUAACCCACAAAUUACGUUAAUCUAAAUUCAAAUUUCGAAAUGGCGAACGGACAGAUGAGUAAUCAAACAGAAACUAGUUACGAAUACCCAAUUUGUUGUAUAGACUUUCCGGACAAGAUGAAGUUUGAAAUAUGUCGUCUGUAAUCUCUAAAGAACUCAACAUAUUUCCCAACAUCAUGUAAAUAUUCUUGGAAAACAAAUUAUGAGUGGAGAUAAGGACAUACAAUACCAUUAAUCAUAUCACUCUCAAAAGGUUUUACAAUCCAACAAAAAAACUUACGAUCGGGCAAACUUGGAGAUGGCAGAUGAUUGA